rnacentral:rRNA from 1 species
GGAAGUGCAUGCAUUGGCCAUUGGUCGUGUAUGAGCUUUCAUCCGCCUGAAAACCAUGUUCGUCCUUUACUGGUCGGCAUGGGGAUCAGGCAAUUUACUUUGAAAAAAUUAGAGUGUUCAAGGCAGGCAAUCGCCCUGAAUACACAAGCAUGGAAUAAUGGAAUAGGACUACAGUCCAUUUUGUUUGGUUAUUGGACUGCAGUA